AGAGUUUGAUCCUGGCUCGAGACGAACGCUGGCGGCGUGCUUAACACAUGCAAGUCGAACGGAGCACCCCUGAAGGAGUUUUCGGACAACGGAUGGGAAUGCUUAGUGGCGGACUGGUGAGUAACGCGUGAGGAACCUGCCUUCCAGAGGGGGACAACAGUUGGAAACGACUGCUAAUACCGCAUGAUGCGUUGGAGCCGCAUGACUCUGACGUCAAAGAUUUAUCGCUGGAAGAUGGCCUCGCGUCUGAUUAGCUAGUUGGUGAGGUAACGGCCCACCAAGGCGACGAUCAGUAGCCGGACUGAGAGGUUGGCCGGCCACAUUGGGACUGAGAUACGGCCCCAGACUCCUACGGGAGGCAGCAGUGGGGAAUAUUGGGCAAUGGACGCAAGUCUGACCCAGCAACGCCGCGUGAAGGAAGAAGGCUUUCGGGUUGUAAACUUCUUUUAAGGGGGAAGAGCGGAAGACGGUACCCCUUGAAUAAGCCACGGCUAACUACGUG
rnacentral:rRNA from 1 species